UUUCAGUUAGUGGGGUAUGCAUUUCCUGACAAUCUGUGGAGCCAGCAGGUUCCUCAUAGGCAGACAGAUAUUAGGAUCAGUGCUGGGUAAAAACAUUUUAAGCUUAUCUUUCUGUUUAAAUACUCAUACACAAAUACUACCUUCAUAAAAACUACUGAAGCUGCAAGAGAGUGAAGACUAACAAAACUCUUUGUUUUCUUCUGGCAAAUGAACAAAUGUUACUUAUGCCAGGCAAGCUUAAAAGAUAAAGGGUUCUCCUGCUGCAAAAGCAGCAAGCUGCUACACGUCUCUUAUAACUGUGGGUACAGAGGAAUUUACAAUCAUCUGGACAAGCAGAAUGCUGAUUUCUGCCAAGGACUUCCAGGCAACACAUGUUUAAACCAGUGUGGAGUGGCCACCACUGGGACGCUUCUGAUCAUCUGCUGGUCUGCACUGAGAGGCUCUGCAUUGGGACACAAGAAAAGGAUUUUAUUUUGCAAUCUGGAGAAGCAGUUGCAGUCUUUCAAAAUAUGGAAAUUUGAAUCACUGCAGCCUGUGAACUACUCUACAUUUCUGACACAAACCUUGAACUGCUACUGAGCACUGUGGAGCUGUCUCUAAGUGUUAGCUUCAGAAGGCUUGCAGCACUCAAACCUGCAGCUGCCAUGUGUCUUCUAGGUAAAAGCAAGGAAGAGAUGGAGAGAAGGAAAUUCACCUUUAUCUUUCCCAGAAGAGGAGAGGCAAUGGUUUAAUGUGAUUAAUGAUUUAAUGGCUUCAUGAUCCACAGCCGUCCCAGACAGUGCAAAUCACUCUGACUUCACCUCGGGGUGUCAAGAUAGAAGCUGGAGCUGCAUGGCUGCUGGUCCCUUUGCCCACUGGGGCUCUUUGUGGUGGUUGUCAAAGGAAACUUUUCAGAGGGAGCACAUCUGUGUAAUGAUGUACAUUAAGGUAACAUGGUAAUGGAGCUAAUAUCUCCUGAGAGGCUCUGGUAAAUUUGGAAGGAUACUGUGUUCCUUUACUGGUGUGUUGCUUCUCUGCCCAGCUGAGAUCAGAGUGAGAGUGGCAAUGGUGAUGGCAGGGAGAUAAUUUGAAGGUAAGGACACCAGAGUUUGUAUCUGAAUUUGCCUAUUUCAGUUUGCAAGUAUAAUGAGUUGUCAAUAAGAGUGUUCAGAUGAGUAGUUUUUUUAACAAAUGCACUAUUACCUAUACAAC